rnacentral:tRNA from 1 species
UCCCUGGUAGUAUAUCGGAUAGUACACGCGCCUGUCAACUUCGCUUACGGACGCGCGAGAGCGGGGUUCGACUCCCCGCCAGGGAG